rnacentral:lncRNA from 1 species
UUCUUCCUGUGGAUUGACUAACUUCUGGAAGAUUUGUGGUAAUAAUAUGAUUCUUUUUUGAAUUUUAAGACAUAUGUACAGUUGUGGAUGAGAUUUGAUCUGUAUCUUUUCUUCUUUCCUUUAUUUGUCUACUUUAGCCAUGGCUACAAAUGAACAACUCCAAAAAGUCUCCCUGUAACAACUUACUAUAGCUGAAGGAAUAAGAUGUAAUAAGGAAGCUGAAGGAAUAAGGCUUCCAGUAUGUAAUACUGCAUGGAAUAAGGAACUACACAAAUUCCAGGUGCUGACUGCACGAUUGGCCUUUGAUUAAAGUCUCUGAGGAAAAAAGCAGAUACAGCAGAGCUGUGACUUCAUUCUCCCUCAGCUAUCAAAUUUGAGGAUUUAUGGUUCUUCAUUUUACAAGAUUCUUGCAUACACUUCUUCUGGUAUUCUCAGAGGCACAAAAUUCACUGCUCCCUAUGGUGCCUAAGAAGGGACAACCUCAGCUGCUGCAAGCCAUGCUGUGUCUGGCAUGGAGCUCUUUUCUUCAAGGUACGUGCACUUUAAUGCUUGUUACAGUUAU